rnacentral:rRNA from 1 species
UACGGGGGGGGGCAAGCGUUGUUCGGAAUUACUGGGCGUAAAGGGCUCGUAGGCGGCCAACUAAGUCAGACGUGAAAUCCCCAGGCUCAACCUGGGAACUGCGUCUGAUACUGGAUGGCUUGAAUCCGGGAAAGGGAUGCAGAAUUCCAGGUGUAGCGGUGAAAUGCGUAGAUAUCUGGAGGAAUACCGGUGGCGAAGGCGGCAUCCUGGACCGGCAUUGACGCUGAGGAGCGAAAAGCUAGGGGAGCAAACGGG